GGUUUUGAUUACAAGAUUCGUCCACUGAAGCUGCCCUUGCACUCAAAGAAAUGCCGACUUAUUCGUUACUCUCAGUACAAAAUCAACCUGACAUCGCAAGACAGCUCUUUUGUCUGAUCUUUUCCCCACUGACUAAGUGGAUUGGAUUGAGUAAAAGAAUGUUAAUUGAAGGGGAAAAGGGAAUUAGAUUAAGAACAUGUUCCCAAGCAUGAGCCCAUAAAACCCCUGGCAAUAUUUGCUAGUGAUAGAACAAACUUAUAAUCUAAGAGGCCUCCAAAAGCCACUGACGCACAUUUUUCUAGCUAGAAGAAUGCGACAACUUCUUUCACAGGGCUCCAGUAUCUCAGUAGUCUUCUCUCAUGCUUUCUGGUUUCCUCUUUGCAUGCAUUGCAAGACGGGCAUCUCUCUCCCGCUCAAACUCUCGGUAAUCAGCACGCUCUAAGAAACCAACCCUGUCUAGAUACUGAUUGGAACUCUUCUUGUAAGCAUCCAGCUCUUCUUCCAUCCCUCUAUUUUCUCCCUUGAAUCCCUCCCAGUCUUUCUUUGUCUUAUCAAGUACACUCAGUUUCUGCUUCUUUUUUAUUUGUUCAAGGAUGAUAUCAACAGCAGAAGCAGGUGCUGCGGGGCCUUUGCCUUUAUCAGAUGCUUCUGCAGAAUUGUGGUCAACAUAUUUCUUUAUUUCAACAUCUUCACCAGCAAAAUCUCGCACUUCAGUAAUCACUUUAACCCGGCCUGCAGAGGCAGCAGCGGUGGCAGCCUCCUUUACUGCAGAGAGUGCAGCAGCAGCAAGCUUCUUUGACUCCUCGCUAGUAUCAUUUUGAGUAGUCCUAAGACACUUCUCUGGUGUGCUUCUUCCAGGCUCUGAUGGUUUCUUUUGGGACAAUCCCAGUACUGUCAUCCAACUCUGUUGAGACUGUAACACCACAAAUCUGAGUAACAGCGUGGACAUAUCUCAUACAAUUUGUAAAGUAGAGGUCUUAUACUCACAGAAGAUGACGAUUUUGAGGAACUUUUUGAGGAACUUUUAUUUGAUGCUGAGGUAGGCUUGUUUAUUAUGGAGUACAGGGUCCUCGUAGACACUCCUUUGUUCAUUUGCUCCCAAACAGCAUCCACCCGAGCUUUCCUUUCAAUUUCUUCGGGCUGCAUCUGCAUGUUAGGAAGGCACGCAGUAUCUUGUUUGGGCAUCAGUUGGAAGCCAUCGACAUUCUCUAAAUUAUUUUGAACAAGCUGGGCUUCUGCAGUCAAUUCAGCCAUAUUGCUUAACCUCGAAGCAGUACCAGGAAGAACGACGGUG
rnacentral:misc_RNA from 1 species